UUACUAAUGAGAUGUCUGCAAUGUGUCAAGUCUUAACAUCAGAUUGGACACCACCACCAUUUCCUGUUCCACACUGAUCUUCACAUGGUUCUUGCUUUUUAACACAACCUCUGAAAACCGAGCCUCACAAAGACCUACUGGAUGUUCAGAAGGUGCAUUUCUACAUGGUGAUUCAAAUACCCAGUGUUGGUACAACUGGUGACUUUGUAAUCUGCAAAGACUUGGAGUACUCUACCACAUACUCGGCAUCCUCCUAGGAAAUGAAAAAGAGAGAGACAAGCCAGGAGAACUUCAUGUGAGGUUUAAUGGAUAAUUGGCCAGACUCGGUCACAUGGCUCCAUUUUACCUGCAGAAGGUGCUGGAAAAUGUGGAGUAGCUCUGAUCCCAGGAAGGACAACUGGCUUCCAGCUUCCAUUUUAAUAUAGAAACCACCGUGCUGCACUGCUGAGUGGCUUCUGGGAUUUCCUCAGAGACUAAAGUAAUUGAAAUAACAAAAACAAUUUUUUUUUUACAUUUAUAUCUCAUUGACAAUGGGUUUAAUUUUCCUCAGCACUCACACCUAUCCUAUGAGGGAGGCAAGGCAAGUAUUGUUGUCUCUACUUUUACAUGGGGCUCUGAGUGGGAGCAGGGACUUGCCUGUGCCCCAGGACACAAAACAAAUGGGACAGAACUUGAAUCAGAACCCAGGUAUCCCUGUAUUGGAUUUGCAGUUUUUACUACUGUACUAACAGAAUAGGAGUAGAUGAAGUGGGGAACCGGGUGAGGAAGGAAAGGUGAGCUCCUCAACUGAGUUGGGAACUAGAUGGAGUUGGAAGAUUAGUUCUGGUUUUAUCCAGGUGUUGGUAAGGAUUUAUAGGAUGCUUGAGGGGUGAGACAUGAAAUUAUUUCAGUUCUCUGCUUUGAAGCUAAAUGCCAGCUUAAUUCAGAGAUCCAAUCCCUGUAUGUUUCCAUACACCUUUGUUUUUAAUUUCUCAUCUUUCUUUCACUUCUUUUCUUUCAUUUCUCUCUUUUGGAAGUGAAAGCAUCACUUUUUGUUGCGGUAUGUGAAUAUAACAAUAUUAAAUGGUUACAACAGCAGCCAAAGUACAAGAGGGAGAGCUCUUGUGACCUCCCAUAAAUGAAAGGUGGCUCUGAAAGAAUGAAAAACAGUUACAACAGAACGGACAUAAUGG
rnacentral:lncRNA from 1 species